GACGAACGCUGGCGGCGUGCUUAACACAUGCAAGUCGAACGGACAGGCCUCUUUCGGGGGGUACUCGAGUGGCGAACGGGCGAGUAACACGCGCGUAACUUGCCCUCCUCUUUGGGAUAACUACCGGAAACUGGGGGUAAUACCGGCCAGAUGCUCUUUCGACCUGGAGGGGGCUGGAGAGUUUCGGGGGUUGGGGAUGGCUUCGCGGGGUAUCAGCUCAUUGUUGGCGAAGUGGCUUACCAAGGCCUUGCCGGGUAACCGGACUGUGAGAGUGAGCGGCCGCCUAGGGACUGAGGUGCGGCACAGACUGCUACGGGAGGCAGAAGUGGGGAAGAUUGCAGGAUGAGUGCAAGCCUGAUGCAGAAAGGCCGCGGGCGGGAUGACGGCCUUCGGGUUGAAAACCGCUUGCGCUCGUGACGAAGCUUUGUGUGACGGUAGUGGGUAAAGAAGCACCGGCUAACUACGUG
rnacentral:rRNA from 1 species